rfam:Cavia porcellus supercont2_96 genomic scaffold, whole genome shotgun sequence.
GGGGAUUUAGCUCAGCGGCAUAAGCGCCUGCCUUGCAAGCAGGCAGUCAGGAGUUCGAUCCUCGGUACCCA